UCCGAUAUGGUGUAGGGGUUAGCAUUGGUCGCUUUCAUUCAGGAGUGCCGACUAGACCCGGGUUCGAUUCCCGGUAUCGGAA
rfam:Pyronema omphalodes CBS 100304, CBS100304, WGS project CATG01000000 data, contig: Pcon_v1_contig1223